UUAAAUAUUAAAAUUUUAAUAGAAAUGGUCUCCUAGGAGUAGAGAAUUCCCUUUAGAUUUGGCUGAUAGAACACCAUAGACUACGUGGUUUAAACAACAGAAAUGUAUUUCUCACAGUUCCGAAGCUGGAAGUCCCAAGAUCCGGGAGCCAGCACAGUCAAGUUCUUCCAGGCUGCAGACAGUCAACUUCUCAGUGUAUCUUCACAUGGCAGAGAGCAGAGAGAGGAAGCAGGCUUGAGUGACUCUUAUAAAGACAUGAGUUCUAUUCAUGAGGACUCCACCCUCAUGACCUCAUCUCAUCCUGAUUACCUCCCAGAGGCCCUAUUUCCUAAUACCAUCAUAUGGGGACAGGGUUCAACAUAUGCAAUGCUGGAGAGACACGAACAUUCAGUCCAUAAAUGAACAAAUACAGUUAAAUAUGGAAGGGAUUUAAUUACUAUGUCAUAAAAGCGAACAACAACAAAAGAAUACUACAUGUACUAUGUAUUUUAUUAGUUAUGUAUCCAUACAGGAAUGUGUGUGUCUUUGUAUGUGUUGUGGAAAAUCUGUGGUCCUUUUUUUCUCUCAGGUGCAUUCUCUUUUUUAAACAAUACAAACUGAAAAGCCUAAAUUUUUCUUCAGAAAACAAUUGUUUCAGAACAAGGAGGGUUACAUUCAAAAUAUUUCAUGAUACAUUAUAAAAUAUAAAAACAAAACUAAAACUUUCAUUAAGAGCAUCAGAGUGUUCAAAGCAUUUCAUCUCAUCAAAAUAAUUACACCUAUUAGUCUGAGCUAGAUAUUGAAAAGCAUAAGCUCACUUAUUUUUGUAAGUUAACCUCAUUCAGUUUCUUAGAAAUUUACUUUGGUCUCACGAGUUAGAAUUAAGUCAUAGAUUGCUAUACUGUAUUCAUUUGGAUGCAUCAGAAUAAAAAUGACAUGUAGAUACAUUUGAUCUCCCUUUAAUCAAUCAAAACCACAUAUGUGAGGUUUUUAUUACACCACAUCAGAUAUCAUGGGCCCUGUAACUUUUCUUCAGGUCCAUAUCACCCACAAGUAAUUUUCCUGACCAUGAAAACUUGGGAAAACUACAAUCGAGACAAAGGUAUCGGUCACGCAGGGAAUUAGAGGUGGUGAGUGAAAAGAGGAGGAAGGAGAGGUGAGAGAGAGAGGACGAAGACCAGCUCGCAGACAUCUGCUUGUUUAAAAAUAUGACUGAACGAUUACUAUUGAAUAGAAGAGCAUCACCUCCUAGAUCAACAUCUACCUUCCUCUUGCCCUCUGCUGCUACACAGGAAAAGCGUGAGGCUGGAAACAGUGACUUCCAGGCAUCUGAGAUGACACAACAUAGAUUGCCAAAUUGCAUGCCACCCUGCAGUUGCCAAGGAGAUAAUAAAUCUAUGAAACUAUUAUCAUAAAUAAAGAGAACCUCAGCCAGAAAAUAAGAUAUUAAUGACAUGAAGAAAGAACACCAUGGAGUGAGCACAAUAAUCGGAUUGUGGAGAGCUUUCCAACUGAGGAAGAACAUUAUGUGAGUGAUGCCACCACCAUCUCAUCCUCCAUUUCUGUCACUCAACAUUUCUAAUCCAUCGUUAAAGCUUUAGGCUUAAAAGUAUGGGUUUUGUUGGCCCAGCCCUGCAACCUACCAGAUAAAUGAUUUGGGGAAGAUCACUUGAUCUCCAUCAAUUUCCUUAUUGGUAAAAACAUGGAUUACAACAGGACACAUCUUUUAUUCUCUAAACCAUCCUAUUAAUCCAAAUCACCUGCAUCAGUAAGAGAGUAGAUACUCUAAGAAGUAGUGAGGAUAUGAAAGGGUACAACCACAACAGUGAAGAUCAACUCAAAUACUGGAAGGACAGAAUCAAA